AUGUGUGGUUUUCUGAAUCAGUCUGGCAUGGCGAGAUCUAUCGCGUUCCACUUCCACCAUCUCACUGUCCUUAAAGCCUUAACUGCCUUGUUUCUGUUUGCAGUUCUUGUUCCAAAUCAUGUUCAAGGGCGACAUCAUCGGCAUGACUGUCCUUCUUUUUCCUGUGGCCCUUUUAGGAACGUAUCAUCUCCAUUUCGUCAGGCAGGUGAUCCACCCUGGUGUGGUUUUCAGUCUUACGAGCUAGUUUGCAGUGAUACCAGGGCUACAAUUCGCAUCAACAAUGCAACAUAUCAUGUGUCCCGCAUCAACUAUACUGUUUCUUACUUCUGGGUUGUUGAUGCUGUCUUGGAUUUACCCAACCGGUGCCCUCUUCCUCAGUGGAAUCGGCCUUUUUAUGAACACAAAUAUGGUCCAUAUUACUAUCCCCCUAAAGCUGAAUUACUGCCUCUUGCAUACAGUGUCGCUAGCUUUGUUAGAUGUUCUCAGGAAGUAAGGAACAAUGGUAUGUACAUGCCCGUCACUUGCAUGAGCACCAGCCAUUCGUUUGUCUAUGUGUUAACUGGCAUAUACUCUGGUGCUGUUGGGAGCCUCGAGCCUUCUUGUGGAUAUCUGGCAAUGACUCCUUUGGGUAGUUGGGUACCGAAUGCAAGUUAUGCAGGUACCAUAGAAUCCAUUAAGAAUGGAUUCGCUCUUCGAUAUCGUUUCACUGGAAGGGGCAUCACUAGGUGCCUAAUGAGGUUUAGACGAGGGCUUGGUGAAGUGAAAACUGUUAAGGAUUGGUUUGUGUUCCUUACUACUGCCGACCUCUUUUUCGAGGCAUGCAUGCUCGAUGCUCUUCUAGCUCAAGUACCGCACAACAAUCUUUGGUACUCCCGUAUGAUAGCUGUUGCCUUGUGGCUCGUGAAGUGGAUUGCUGUGCUGUGCAGGUUCGUGUUGGCACCCAUGGCUGUGUUAAUUUUCCUUGGCUACAAGUAUUUGAAAACAAGGGUAACCAUUGAUGCGGUCGAGAAGUUCCUCCGACUGCAACAAAUGCUUGGUCCGACGAGGUACGCCUACACCGACAUCACCGCAAUCACAAGCCAUUUCAGAGAUAAGCUGGGUCAAGGAGGCUAUGGAUCCGUAUUCAAGGGUGUGUUAUUGCCAGGCAAUGUUCAUGUCGCGGUCAAGAUGCUAGAUGGUAACUCCAGCUGCAACGGGGAAGACUUCAUCAGUGAGGUCUCCACCAUCGGUAGGAUCCACCAUGUAAACGUGGUGCAUCUCAUGGGUUUCUGCUCAGAGGAGAUGAGGAGGGCUCUGGUAUAUGAGUACAUGCCUCAAGGUUCUCUCGAUAAGUACAUCUUCUCCGCCGAGAAGAGCUUCUCCUGGGACAAGCUUAACGAUAUAGCUUUGGGCAUUGCCAGGGGUAUUAACUACCUGCAUCUGGGUUGUGACAUGCAGAUUCUCCACUUUGACAUCAAGCCACACAAUAUCUUGCUCGACAACAAUUUCAUCCCAAAAGUAGCUGAUUUCGGUCUCGCCAAACUAUACCCAAGAGACAACAGUUUUGUGCCAUUGAGUGUCCUACGGGGAACAAUUGGGUACAUAGCUCCUGAGAUGAUAUCUCGGAGCUUUGGUGUCAUAUCAAGCAAGUCUGAUGUUUACAGCUUCGGAAUGCUGCUGCUGGAGAUGGCUGGAGGAAGAAGGAACGCCGAUCCAAACGCAGCAAACUCAAGUCAGUCUUACUACCCAUCAUGGGUAUAUGACCGGUUAACUCAGCAAGAGGCGGGUGAGAUAUCUGUUUCUGUUGCUGACAUGCAUGAGCUGGAGAGGAAGCUGUGCAUUGUUGGACUAUGGUGUAUCCAGAUGAGGCCUCAAGAUCGUCCGACAAUGAGCGAGGUUGUAGAGAUGCUGGAAGGGGGUGCCGAUACCUUGCAGAUGCCUUCCAGACCAUUCUUCUGGGACGAAGGGCAUGCCGAUACUGAUGAUACUUACCAUUUGUCGUCCGAGUUGAAUGAAAUCUCCGAGGAGGAUACGAGUGAAAAUAUUGAUGAGUAA
rnacentral:rRNA from 1 species